CUACGGGAGGCUCCAGUGAGGAAUAUUGCACAAUGGGGGGAACCCUGAUGCAGCAACGCCGCGUGGAGGAUGACGCAUUUCGGUGUGUAAACUCCUUUUAUAUGUCAAGAAAAUGACGGUAGCAUAUGAAUAAGCACCGGCUAACUCCGUGCCAGCAGCCGCGGUAAUACGGAGGGUGCAAGCGUUACUCGGAAUCACUGGGCGUAAAGGACGCGUAGGCGGGUUGGAAAGUCAGGUGUGAAAUCCUACAGCUUAACUGUAGAACUGCACUUGAAACUUCUAAUCUAGAGUAUGUGAGGGGGAGAUGGAAUUAGUGGUGUAGGGGUAAAAUCCGUAGAUAUCACUAGGAAUACCUAAAGCGAAGGCGAUCUCCUGGAACAUUACUGACGCUAAGGCGUGAAAGCGUGGGGAGCAAACAGGAUUAGAUACCCUCGUAGUC
rnacentral:rRNA from 1 species